rnacentral:rRNA from 1 species
AGCCUGAUGCAGCCAUGCCGCGUGUGUGAAGAAGGCCUUCGGGUUGUAAAGCACUUUCAGUCGUGAGGAAGGUAGUGUAGUUAAUAGCUGCAUUAUUUGACGUUAGCGACAGAAGAAGCACCGGCUAACUCCGUGCCAGCAGCCGCGGUAAUACGGAGGGUGCGAGCGUUAAUCGGAAUUACUGGGCGUAAAGCGCAUGCAGGUGGUUUGUUAAGUCAGAUGUGAAAGCCCGGGGCUCAACCUCGGAAUAGCAUUUGAAACUGGCAGACUAGAGUACUGUAGAGGGGGGUAGAAUUUCAGGUGUAGCGGUGAAAUGCGUAGAGAUCUGAAGGAAUACCGGUGGCGAAGGCGGCCCCCUGGACAGAUACUGACACUCAGAUGCGAAAGCGUGGGGAGCAAACAGGAUUAGAUACCCUGGUAGUCCACGCCGUAAACGAUGUCUACUUGGAGGUUGUGGCCUUGAGCCGUGGCUUUCGGAGCUAACGCGUUAAGUAGAC